CACCUUGUGACUAAUAAUAUACUGCAUGCCGGUGUAAGGUUUCCGGUGUUAUGGCGACCUGGAGCAUACAUUUUUGUUUGCAGAAGAGUUUGGGUUGUGCUGUGAGGUAAGCCAAGGCGACUCUCCCAUGUGUUUCUGUGGGACUGACUAUGCUGCUGUUGGUAGCACUGGUCAUGGUCUGUACUUACACUGUGGUAGCUGCCGAGGAGGCUGAGAACACCAGCCACAAACCACCACUCCACUACAGCAGCCUCGCGCUGCCACAGCACCAUAUCCCCUACUUCCUCCACACUAACAAGAGAGUGGCCAGGCUUUGUCGAGAGGACCCGCUCUGCCCUUUUAAAGAUGCUCUGCCGGAUGUGUCGUCCUGCUGGGGGUAUGAGAAGAACUGUGCCCCAGAGAACCGCUUUGGCUAUCCUGUCUGCACCAAGAUCGACUCUGGAUGGGCUAGCUCAGUGGAGGCAGCCCAGGAGCUGUUCUGGAAACAGGCAGACUUUGGUUAUGUCAUGGAGCGCCUCAGUGAGAUGAAGACCCUCUGCAAGGCCACCAAUCCUGGAGAUUCAUCUCUGAAAUGCUCCAGCCACACUCGCUUCUGCAGGGCGACCAAUCUGUACCUGGACCUGAGAAACCCUCGCAGGGGUCAUGAGAGGUAUAAGGAGGACUUUCUCCAGGAGGGGGAGAUUGGGGGGCGUUGCAGUCUGAACAGCCGAGCGCUGGCCGCAGAAGGAGAGCACAAGAGCCCUCUGCAGUCCUGGUAUGCUGAACUGCAGGCAUACACAGAGCUGGACUUCAACCCCACAGAUGAAGAGCAUUGUGACAUCAUCAUUGAGAAACCUACUGUAUUCAUGAAGCUUGACGCAGGGGUGAACAUGUACCAUCAUUUCUGUGACUUUGUCAACCUGUACAUUUCCCAGCACAUCAACAACUCCUUCAGCAGAAACAUCAAUAUCCUCAUGUGGGAUACGAGUUUUAGUGGAUAUGGGGAUCUGUUCAGUGAGACAUGGAAGGCUUUCUCUGACUAUGACAUCAUCCAUCUGAAAACAUUUGACACUAAAAGGGUGUGCUUCAAAGAUUCCGUGUUCUCCCUGCUCCCCAGGAUGAGAUAUGGGCUGUUCUAUAACACACCUUUGAUAUCUGACUGCUACAGUGAAGGGAUGUUCAGGGCCUUCUCCCAGCAUGUUCUAUAUCGACUCGGCGUUCCACAGGAUGGACCCAUGGAGGGGAGGAUUCGGGUGACGUUGUUGGCACGCAGCACAGACUACCGUAAGAUAUUGAACCAGCGGGAGCUCACAAACGCCCUGAAGACUGUGCCUCUACUUGAGGUCAGAGUGGUGGAUUACAAAUACAAGGACGUUCCGUUCCUGGAGCAGCUCAGCAUUACCCACAACUCUGACAUCUUCAUCGGGAUUCACGGGGCAGGACUUACUCAUCUGCUCUUCCUUCCUGAUUGGGCCGUCAUCUUUGAGCUGCAUUCAUCAGGCAGGACGAGGAGGCGGACGCCACAGAGAGAGGAGAGAGAGAGCAGGAGAUGAAGUGUCUCCAUCUGUUCUCCACAGAUAUAACUGUCAGGAUGAGAGCUGCUAUCGAGAUCUGGCUCGGCUACGCGGGAUCCGAUAUGUGACUUGGCAGAAAAGGGACAAAGUGCUCCCAGAAGAUAAGGGUCACCAUCCCACCCUGGGGGAUCAUCCUAAGUUCACCAACUACUCCUUUGACGUGGAGGAGUUCAUGCGUCUGGUGCUAGAAGCAGCAGACUACGUCCUGCACCACCCCAAGUGGCAGCCCUCGCCCAGCCAUGAUGAACUGUAAGCCUGCACCACCCCAAGUGGCAGCCCUCACCCAGCCAUGAUGAACUGUAAGCCUGCACCACCCCAAGUGGCAGCCCCCACCCAGCCAUGAUGAACUGUAAGCCUGCACCACCCCAAGUGGCAGCCCUCGCCCAGCCAUGAUGAACUGUAAGCCUGCACCACCCCAAGUGGCAGCCCUCGCCCAGCCAUGAUGAACUGUAAGCCUGCACCACCCCAAGUGGCAGCCCCCACCCAGCCAUGAUGAACUGUAAGCCUGCAGCACCCCAAGUGGUAGCCCCCACCCAGCCAUGAUGAACUGUAAGCCUGCAGCCCCUACCCAGCCAUGAACUGUAAGCCUGCAGCACGAGGACAGUUUGGUGAAGUCAAACACACGACUGAAACACAGUCGUCUUAUAAAUCUAAAAGUAUGUUUAAUUCUAGUUCUUGUAUAUUAUGAAGGUUAAGUUUAAGUUUACAACAUCACUUUUCAGCUAUUUAUUAUUUCAUUUUUUUCUGCAGUGAGUCUUUAACACAGCCUUCUAGGCCAACACAGCCCAAGGUGCAUCUCAGUAGUGAUAAUAAAGAGAAAUGCAAUGGCCUUGGCAAACUUAGAGUACCUGCUACCAUUUUCCUUGUUAGAGAACAGUAUAUGUGCUAUACAUACACUCCUUACAACAAAUGACUAUUUCUAUUACAAGCUGCCACUGGUGCUUGCCGUAAUGAUCAUUUGUUUACUUUCUAAAACAAUGGGUUUAUUUUCUGCAUUUUCUGAUUAAAGGGGUGUGUUGUAGACAGACAGGGAUGGAACUUUGAACAUGUUGUAAAUGUGCCCAUUUUAUCAACCCCGCAGAAUUGUCUUUGCAACUAUUUUGUCGUCACUACAUAUAGUAAACUUCCAGGAAGGGAAAACACAAGUGAUAUAAUCAAUCUAAAGCUGGGUGUUUUAUUUAUAAGUGAAAGGGAGUCAGACCUUUUGGUCAAUGUUUUGGAAAGUCUUGUAAAUCAUGUUAUAUUUCAAAGCCAUGGAAAUAUUUUGAAAUAAAAAUUUUCAAAAGUGUU